CGGACGGGUGAGUAAUGUCCGGGAAACUGCCCGAUGGAGGGGGAUAACUACUGGAAACGGUAGCUAAUACCGCAUAACGUCGCAAGACCAAAGAGGGGGACCUUAGGGCCUCUUGCCAUCGGAUGUGCCCAGAUGGGAUUAGCUAGUAGGUGGGGUAAUGGCUCACCUAGGCGACGAUCCCUAGCUGGUCUGAGAGGAUGACCAGCCACACUGGAACUGAGACACGGUCCAG
rnacentral:rRNA from 1 species